rnacentral:rRNA from 1 species
UAAUUUAAUAAUGUAUACACAAAUUAAAUUUACUAUAAAUUAUAAAACAUUUGUUUUUUAGUAAAGGAGAUUGAAUUUAUUUUCUUGAGUUAAGUACUGUAAAGGAAUAAAUAAAAUUUUUGUUUAGCAGUAUUUAAUUACGUACCUUUUGCAUUAUGGCUUAGUAAGAAAAUGUAAAAUUAAAUUUUAUAUCUAGAAACCUAAUGAGCUACUUUAAUUUAGAGUUUUAGUUUAUAAGUAUAAAUGUAGCAAAAUUUAAAUUAAAAGUUAAAGUUGUAGUGAAAUUCUAUCCGUAUUAGGUGAUAGCUAGUUCUCUUAAACAUAUAUAUAAGUAUAAUUUUAUAAUUCUAAAUUUAUUUAUUUAAAUAAAUAAAUUUGAUAUAAAAGUCGAAUAUUCAAGGAUAAGCUUGGAUAUUUUAAAAGGGAAAUAAAAAUAAAUGAAAUUAUCUUAAGCUUGAAAUCAGCUAUAGUUUUGAAAAUCGUUAUAGAUUAUUUAAAAUAUAAUUAAGUAAUAAUUUAUAUAUUUAUCCUUUUAUGAUGCUAUAAGAGCAAGUAACUUAAUUGGUUUGGUUGCUUUGUUUUUGCUAAGAUGAGUAUUUUGAGAUAUUUUAGUAUAUUUUUUAAUUUAAAUUUCAAAAUAUAUUAACAUGACUAAAAUAAUUGUAAAAUUAAUAGAAGGAAUUCAGCAAAUAUUGGCUUCGCCUGUUUAGCAAAAACAUGGCUCUUUGUCUAGUUCUUAUAAAGAGUCAGACCUGCCCAGUGAAUUUUUUCAACGGCCGCGGUACUCUGACCGUGCGAAGGUAGCAUAAUCAUUUGCCUUUCAAUUGGAGGCUAGUAUGAAAGGUUUGACGAAAGCCAAGCUGUCUCCUGUUAAAUAAAAUAAAAUUGACUUUUAAGUGCAAAGGCUUGUAUUUAACUAGAAGACAAGAAGACCCUAUUGAGCUUUAAAAUUUAAAAAGACUAAAGUAUAUUAUAGCAAAAUUCUAAUUCUUUUAAACUUUUUAGUUGGGGCGACUUUGGAACAAUAGCAGCUUCCUAAAAUUAAGAAUACUUUUAAGUUUUGAUCCAAAAACUUUUGAUUAAUAGAAUUAGUUACCAUAGGGAUAACAGCAUAAUUCUUCUUGAGAGUCCUAAUCGAAAGAAGAGAUUGUGACCUCGAUGUUGGACUAGAAUACCCUAAAGGUGCAGAAGUUUUUAAAGGUUGGUCUGUUCGACCAUUAAAAUUCU